rnacentral:rRNA from 1 species
CUUAUACUGUGAAACUGCGAAUGGCUCAUUAAAUCAGUUAUCGUUUAUUUGAUAGUACCUUACUACAUGGAUACCUGUGGUAAUUCUAGAGCUAAUACAUGCUAAAAACCUCGACUUCGGAAGGGGUGUAUUUAUUAGAUAAAAAACCAAUGCCCUUCGGGGCUCCUUGGUGAUUCAUAAUAACUUAACGAAUCGCAUGGCCUUGCGCCGGCGAUGGUUCAUUCAAAUUUCUGCCCUAUCAACUUUCGAUGGUAGGAUAGUGGCCUACCAUGGUGGCAACGGGUAACGGGGAAUUAGGGUUCGAUUCCGGAGAGGGAGCCUGAGAAACGGCUACCACAUCCAAGGAAGGCAGCAGGCGCGCAAAUUACCCAAUCCCGACACGGGGAGGUAGUGACAAUAAAUACUGAUACGGGGCUCUUUUGGGUCUCGUAAUUGGAAUGAGUACAAUCUAAAUCCCUUAACGAGGAACAAUUGGAGGGCAAGUCUGGUGCCAGCAGCCGCGGUAAUUCCAGCUCCCAUAGCGUAUAUUAAAGUUGUUGCAGUUAAAAAGCUCGUAGUUGAACCUUGGGUCUGGCUGGCCGGUCCGCCUCACCGCGAGUACUGGUCCGGCUGGACCUUUCCUUCUGGGGAACCUCAUGGCCUUCACUGGCUGUGGGGGGAACCAGGACUUUUACUGUGAAAAAAUUAGAGUGUUCAAAGCAGGCCUUUGCUCGUAUACAUUAGCAUGGAAUAAUAGAAUAGGACGUGCGGUUCUAUUUUGUUGGUUUCUAGGACCGCCGUAAUGAUUAAUAGGGAUAGUCGGGGGCGUCAGUAUUCAGCUGUCAGAGGUGANAUUCUUGGAUUUGCUGAAGACUAACUACUGCGAAAGCAUUCGCCAAGGAUGUUUUCAUUAAUCAGGGAACGAAAGUUAGGGGAUCGAAGACGAUCAGAUACCGUCGUAGUCUUAACCAUAAACUAUGCCGACUAGGGAUCGGGCGGUGUUUCUAUGAUGACCCGCUCGGCACCUUACGAGAAAUCAAAGUUUUU